CAGCAAAUAAACUGAAGCAGUCGCGUGGAGUAGCUAACUCCCCUGUAAAGACUGCAAUGCCCGGGUUAACGACAACAAAACCAGUGUAUAGACUGGUGGAGCAGGCGGUGAACUGAUAUGAAAACGGCUGGUUCAGGGUCUGUCUUCAUCCAUUUAUGGCUAAUUGUGGGAGUGGAAAUGAGGAAUCACGCUUGAUGGGAUCCCACAUUCCAGUCUGACUCAAAAUUUGUGCCACUCUUAAAAAAGACAGUGCCAUGACCAAUGGAAACAUAAACCAUGGAGAUGCAAGGGAGGUGUCACCAAAUAAAUGCUGUCAAUUAGAGGUCAGGCUGUGAAAAAAGAGCAGUCCCGCUGGGAAGACGUUCCCAACGGGACAGCACCAUGGGAGCAUCAUUGUCCCCCCUGCCACCCUCCCCUCCACACAGGCCUGACUGAUGUGCCUCAGCAUUGUUUUCGAGGAGGAUCAUUGGGAUCAUUGAGUGGCAUGUUGUUUUAAGGGCUAAGCUCUAACCGAAUGGCUCCAUUGUAUGAGCCAUUCUGCCCUCAGCUGCUAACAGCCCAGGGGCAGAGCCAAACAAGAUGGACUCAUUUAGAGACUCUACGAUGAGCUCUGUGGUGUCGGACUAAAAUGAGGCUUUGAAUAACUCAAGUUACUCAAUUACAGAACGUCUUCAGUUUCAAAUUUUUCUCGUAAGUCUCAUGUUAGGGUCCAAGUCAUGUUUUUUUUCCCCCAUUCAAGUGAUAAAAUUCUUAAAAUGAUUAUAUUGUUUGUUUACACUUUCCACCAAUCAUGUCUCAGCGGUGUAGUUGUUUUUAAGUCCCUUGAAUUGACACACUGCCCAACAAACAAGCGAGCAUUGUUCCACUUAGACUAGUGAAUCUAGUUAAAGUCAUGUACCAGAAUUAAACCUAGUGCGUAAAAGACUGACAGUGUCUACAGAGGAGCAUCUGUCAGGAAAAAACAGACUACUUGCAAUAAGAUAACAAUGUUACAAACAAAUAGAUCUAAUUACUUGCAACUUAUUUGAGGCUCUGGCCCUUGACGACAUAAAGUGUAACAUACAGUUACUAAGUGUAGGCUGCCUUCUUCUCAAUCAUGAAGUACCUUUUUUCAAUCAUUCUAACUGUCUGCGUACAAUGUGGUCUGUAAGUAGUUGUGGAACUUACCAAUGUAUGUUGUAUUUUAUUGGCUCUGGACGUUAGCACAUUGGAUUAAAAAUUAAACAGUGACUGUGAGGUUAAUGUGCUGACUCUAAGCUUUAAUUUUGUUUUCAUCUUUAAAUGUUUACAUCUACAUUAGCUAAUCAGAGUAGAAGUUAUAGUCAU